CUUGGCUCCGUGCAAACGCUCGCGGAAGUGGUACAGCCUCCUCUUCUGCCCGCGCGGGGUCUCCGGCCGCCGCGCGGGUCUCCCGGCGCCCCGCGGGGUGGGCUGGUAGGAGCCAGCACCGCCGGGGGCCCUGCAGCCGGUCGCCGAGAUGGUGCAGUUGUAUAACCUGCACCCGUUCGGGUCGCAGCAGGUGGUGCCCUGCAAACUGGAGCCUGAACAGUUCUGCGGUGGCGGACGUGAUGCGCUGUUCGUGGCAGCAGGCUGCAAGGUGGAGGCGUUCGCCGUUUCGGGGCAGGAGCUGUGCCGGCCGAGGUGCGCCUUCUCAACGCUGGGCAGGGUGCUACGCCUGGCCUACAGUGAGGCAGGAGACUAUUUGGUAGCAAUUGAAGAGAAAAACAAAGCUACAUUUCUACGUGCUUAUGUGAACUGGAGAAGUAAAAGGACGGAAAACUCCCGAGUGUGUAUACGAAUGGUUGGACAUAAUGUGGAGGCACCCUUCAGUGAAACCUUCAGAGACCAGAUGUCUAUUGUGGAAAUGCCACUCUCUGAGGCCCCCUUGUGCAUUUCCUGUUGUCCCGUGAAAGGAGACCUUCUUGUUGGCUGCACAAAUAAGUUAGUCUUAUUUAGUUUGAAGUAUCAGAUCAUUAAUGAAGAAUGCUCGGUAUUGAACUUUGAACGUUCUUUAAUUAUCCACAUAGAUAAUAUCACCCCUAUUGAAAUUUCUUUUUGUGUUGGGUAUGUCGCUGUCAUGUCAGACUUAGAAGUCUUAAUCCUAAAACUGGAGUCAGACCCGAAAGGUGGAGAGAAUGUUAACCACCAUCCACAGAAGACCAAAAAGCCGAUGAAACAGGCAGAAGGUAUUAGUAAUGAAACUUUGCAGAUUGAGUCAGAUGAUUUUGUUAUCUGCCAAAAGCCCAUGGAACUUCUUGGUGAAAAAAGUGAACAGUCUGGAAUAUCUGUUACACUAGAGUCAACAGGAUUAGCUGAUGAGAAAAUAAAAUAUUUCCAUGUUCAGCACCUGCUUUAUAGACGUUUUGCUCCUGAUAUUUCAUCCUAUGUUUUGUCUGAUGACAUCAAGUUACAUUCACUUCAGCUGCUGCCCAUUUACCAGACAGGGUCUCUUACUUCUGAUACAAAAAGUUCAUCUCAGGAAAAAGAGUUGCUGAGUCUCUUUUGUUUUUUCUCAUUACCUCAUGUGGGCUAUCUGUACAUGGUUGUCAAAUCUGUUGAAUUAAUGUCAGUCUACCAAUAUCCCGAGAAGUCUCAGCAGGCGGUGCUCACACCACAGUUUUUGCAUGUCAUCACAAGUAACUACCUGCAGUGUUACACAGUGCGGUGCAGUGCAGCGGCUGCUCGUGAGGAGGACCCGUACGUGGACACAACCCUGAAGGCUUGCCCACCUGUCAGUAUGGAUGUCUGUGCUUUAAGAAUACAACUUUUCAUAGGCUUGAAAGCCAUCUGUCACUUUAAAAACCACGUCAUACUUCUGACUAAGGCAGACCCUGAAACCAUUCCAGAGAGGAAAGAGUCACCCAAGAGGCUUGGUUCUAAAAAAGUUACCAGUGUUACCCUCAGAACACCUCCUGUAGCUGAGGCUGGGUGGAAUUUGUAUAUUGUGAAUACGAUCUCAUCAGUGCAACUGUACAAAGAAAUGGUAGACUACAGUAAUACCUAUAAGACUGCGAAAACCCAGAGCUGCAUCCACCUCCUCAGCGAGGCUCACCUGUUAGUGAGAGCUGCCCUCAUGGAAGCCUGUCAGCUGGAACCUGGAGAAAAAGCCGAGCUUAUAGAAGCAUUUAAAGACAGCUGUGCACACCUGGGAGACUGCUACAGCAGGCUUGACACCCAGCAUUCCCACCUUGCCUUGCCGUACUAUAAGAUGUCUGGUUUGUCCAUGGCUGAAGUUUUGGCCCGAGUGGACUGGGCAGUAGAGGAUGGAUCGCAGAAAUACGAGAGGGGAUUAAUCUUUUACAUUAAUCAUUCACUUUAUGAAAACCUGGAUGAAGAAUUAAGUGAAGAACUGGCAGCAAAAGUGGUGCAGAUGUUUCAUGUGGCUGAGCCGAAGCAACUGCCGCAUAUUCUCUGCAGUCCUUCUAUGAAGAAUAUUGAUCCAUUAACUGCCAUAAGCUAUUUAAGGAAGCUGGAUACUUCUGGGUUGUCGUCAGUCUUAGUGACAUUGACCAAGGCAGCAAUGGCUUUGAAAAUGGGAGAUCUUGACAUGCACAGAAAUGAAAUGAAAAGCCAUUCAGAGAUGAAGUUGGUAUGUGGCUUCAUCCUGGAACCUCGGCUGUUGAUUCAACAGAGGAAGGGACAGAUGGUUCCAACUGAGUUUGCGGUUCACUUGAAAGAGACGCAGCCUGGGUUACUUGUGGCUUCAGUCCUGGGCUUACAGAAGAACAACAAAAUUGCAAUUGAAGAAGCAGAUUCCUUCUUUAAGGUGCUUUGCGGCAAGGAUGAAGAUACGAUUCCUCAGCUCUUAGUAGACUUUUGGGAAGCUCUGCUGGUAGCGUGUCUCCCUGAUGUGGUACUUCAGGAACUCUUCUUCAAGCUCACGUCACAGUACAUCUGGAGAUUAUCUAAGAAGCAGCCUCCUGACACCAUACCUUUGAGAACAUCAGAGGACCUGAUAAACACCUGUAGUCAUUAUGGCUUAAUUAAUCCAUGGGUUAAUGUCUUACUAUCAUCCGAUUCUUUAGAGGAUAAAAAUUUCAUGGAUGACCUUUCAAAAUUACAGUCUCUUAUAUGUGGUCCUUCAUUUGACAUAGCUUCCAUUAUUCCAUUCUUGGAGCCACUCUCAGAAGACACUGUUGCUGGCCUCAGUGUCCAUGUUCUGUGUUAUACGCGUUUGAAAGAGUAUGAACUGUGCAUAGACAGGCUGUUAGAGAGAUGCCCGGAGGCAGUCAUCCCAUAUGCUAAUCACGAACUGAAAGAAGAGAAUCGGAUAGACUUUGUGGUGGAAAAAACUGCUACCUGAACUUUGUCAGAGAAUAAAACGUGGUGGAGAGAAAUAUCAACUUUACCUGUCAUCAUUAAAAGAAACAUUGUCAGUUGUUGCUGUGGAACUAGAACUAAGGGAUUUCUUAAAUGUGCUCCCAGAAGAUGGCACUGCAGCAUUUUUCUUGCCAUAUCUUCUUUACUGCAGUCGAAAGAAAUCAUUGACUUGAAGGUACCACUUGAAAAAUACCACAAUCACAUAUGAGACUGAAUUUUUAAAAACUGAAUUCCAGAUAAAAAUAUAAAUAAAGGAUUUUUAUAUUGAAUCUGUACAUAUAUUGCAAAUUCUUUUAGGCUGCUUACCUCAGUGGUAUUUUUAGUUUCAUAGUUUAUGAACUGAAUCCAUUCACUUGUCUGGAAUGUAAAAAAGCUACAAGACAUAAGAAUUUCCUCAAAGAAGGUAUAUAUUUUUAAAGGUAGAGACUAAUUUUAUUCCAAGGAACAUCAAUCCACUGUUGUUGGAGACAUGACAAUCUUUUUCAUCCCAGGAACACAAAGAAACAAUUUGUGAGUAUGCUCAAAAGAAUGUCCCUCCAAGUGGUCCAGAAUUUAACUUUUUAAUUUUUCCGGUUUUUUUCUAUUGGUUCACUUUUAAAAACAAUAAUUUUCUUUGAGAAAAAUGUUAAUGUUUUCCCACAAUAAAAUAUUUCAAAUUUUAUUUUCUUGUUACUUUCAAAACUCAUGCUGAAUUUCUCUCUGAAUCAAAUCAAGUAGAAGUUUACAAAACUAACUUUCUUUGUAUCUGGCUAUUAACAUGAUUUGUGGAAUGCAUGUUUUUCAGCCAAAGCCUUGUUUCCAUCUUUUUGUUGAUGUGUCCUCUUACUCUUUUAGCUAGACUAUGUGAAAAUAAAGAAAUAUGAAGAACUG